ACCAGCCAGGGCACUAAGGUUAAUUUAUUAUUGAAGAAAGAAAAAUAGUUUUUAUACAUUUAGCAUGGCCUACGAGCACAGCAUUUACAGAGUGCAGCGCACGGUACUGUCCUGGACCUUCACACUCUCUCACCGCUCACUCACUGACUCACCCAGAGCGGCGUCCAGUCCUGCAGGCUCCACUCACGGUUUCGUGUCUACUGUCAUCUACUCUUAAAUUUUGCUUUGGGCACUGGAAAAUGUGACACAACCAGACGCUUGUAAAGCACUUGCAGAAGCAGAGUGCCUACCUGACCAAACGCUGGCUGCAGGUGCAAGGAGCCCAGGGUCUUUGCAGCUGUAUCCAAUUGAACAUGAGUUCAUACAGAAUCCACUAACUGGUAUCCUUAUAAUAAGAAAGAAAUUUGAACACAGAGGCACAGAGAGAAGAGUGCCACGUAAAGGCACAGGCAGAGAUUGGAGUGACACAGCACACGCCGAAGAACACCAAGGACUGCUGGCACCCCAUAGAAGCUAGAAGAGGAAGAGACAUCCUGACACAUGAAAUAAGAGAUGGAGAUGCCCCAACAGAGAAGUGAUGAGCCCGUGCUGAAACCCUGGUGUGGACUGCGAAGCCGUGGAUUUUUCACACGACUGCUGUGAGGAGUGAGGGCAGGACAGAAAACCAACAUGGGGAAUUCUCCGCGUGCCGGUCCAGGGUUGUGCAUUUUACACGGCUCACAUCACCUAAUUCUUCCAACAACUCUACGAAGAAGAUCUGAAUAUAAACUUAAGAGCGAUCCUUCUAAAACAAUUCCACCAAAAUGCCCUCAGCAUGGAGAGGAGGGCCAGCUCCCAGCCUUGUGUGAUCCUGGGAAGUAGCUGUGAACGGAUGCUGUGAACAAACAAGAAACAUGUGAAACUGACAUUCCAGAAAAAGAGUCCCUGUUUAUGCUGUGGCUUCCUUCACCUUGCUGCAGGUGCAUCACUGAGUAGACAUCUGAGAGUCACCAGCAGUAAGCUUAUGAAGGAACAUAUGUCAGCAAGUGGCAGGAUGUAAGUUGCAUGGGAGGAGAAACUGCCUGUCUUGUUUACUGUAGUAUCCCCGGCAUACCAAAGAGUGCCUGAACACCGCCAAGAGCUCAAACGAUACUUAUGGAAUGAUAACAAGAGGCACUUCCUGGAGUGUAGGCUUUUUGUAAAUAGCUGGAUCACUCUCUCAACUGCUGUCUCCGUUUGAAAAACUGAUAAACAAUCUGUGCAACUGCAUACUGUGCAAAUAGUGUCUGUAUUGGUGUGGAAAGAUAAGUCAGGAUAAGUCUCAACUAGUCUUAUUGCCCAAGUUAGGGACUUAGCCCCUCUCUUGUCAAAACUUAAUUUUGAUUCUUGUUUUCCUUUAGUGAGAAGGAUAUUGAGGACAUGAGAAAUAGCAGAUGGAUCAAUAGACACUGCUGCUCCUUGGCUCCCUGUGACAUGCUUCACUAGGCAAUACACAGACAUUAGCUGCACGGCUUCCGUCUCUCAGCCGGGGUGAGAGUCCACAACUAUCCACACAGGGGCCUUGUUGCCUGUUUGAAUCAAUCCAGUUAUUUUUUUUUCUAAGAAGAUGGAUCAGAGAGGGCUACUUGAGGUAUUUCCCCCCUUUUAUUAUCUCCUCUAGGGCAGAAGUUAUGGGCCUAUAACAGUAUCUGUUAUGAUCUGAAUGUCUGUGUUCCCUCCCAAAAUUCACACAGUGCACCCCUAAACCCCAGCGUGAUGUUAUUAGGACUUGGGCUUUUAGAAGUAAGUAGGUUUGGGUGAGGUCAUGAGAGUGGAGCCCCCACAAUGGGGUGAAUGGCCACAAAGAAGAGGGAGAGAACAGAGCUGUCUCUCCACCGUGUAAGGACACAGCUGGCAGGCAGCCAUCUGCAACCCAGGAGUAGAGUUCUCACCAGGAACCAGGUCUGUUGGCACCCUGAUCUUGGACUUUCAUUCUUCCAGAACUGUGAGAAAAUAAGUGUCUGUUGUUUAAGCUACCCAGUCGAUGGUAUUUUGUUAUAACAGCCCAAACAAAGACAACAUCAGAUCACAAAUCUCUUUUUGCCUUGUUUUGAAUCCAAAGGGAUAUUUCCUCCUAUUUUCUAUACAACUGUUAAAAGAAGACAAGCAUGAUUUCUAAACAAAAGGACUUCAAGAAGGGGAUUUGUUGAUGUUACUUGUUUUCUUUCCUUAAAGCAGCAAAGCAUUCUUUCUUUGGGAAAGGAGCACCAUAAUUGUGGUAUAACUUAAUAACAAGAGACAAUUGUCACAGUGUGUUCAUCUCAACUGCUUCCCAUGACAAGGAAAACGUAUUACCUGGCCUUGCCGUGAAAGAUUUUCUCAAGGGUUUCCCAUAACAAUGGCCUGUUGUAUUUUUUAAAAGCAGGUUAUGAAACAAUAUGUAUUAUAAUAUUAUAUUUUUAUAAGUAUUUAGAGGUAUAAAAUGUUCUGGAAGGACACACUCAAGGUUGUUAACAGAAGUUACAACUACAUAUCAAAUUAUGUAUUUUUUCUUGUUGCUUAUCUAAAUAUUUUAAUUCUCGUGCUAUCAAAAGGUACGCUUUUCUAAUAAGACAGUUUUGUAAUAAAGUGUUUCAACCAG